rnacentral:rRNA from 1 species
CACCGCGGUUAUACGAGAGACCCAAGUUGAUAGCCUUCGGCGUAAAGAGUGGUUAAGAGAGACCUAGCACUAAAGCCAAAUGACUUCAAAGCUGUUAUACGCACAUGAAAGUACGAAGCCCAAUUACGAAAGUGGCUUUAAAUCUUCUGACUCCACGAAAGCUAUGAUA